GGAACAAGUGUCGUGCUCUCUCUCUCUCUCUCCAGCUCCUCUAUAGCAUAAUUCCUUUUGGGCAAAGGGCAGAUACAAUGAUACCAUUUUGUGAUGAGCAGCAAUAAACUUAGGCCAUUCUUGUUUAGUUCUUCCAGAUGGAGCAUUAUAUGAACUGGACAGAAGCUAUAGCUUCAGCUUGGGGUUUCAUGCUAUUGAUAGGUCUCAUGUGUUGCUGUCUCAGCACUAAACCU
rnacentral:misc_RNA from 1 species